GACACAACAUGGGAAAGAAUGAAAAGGUCACGAUGGAAGGUGUGGAGCACUGAGGAGGCUGUCCUGGUAGUGCUUGUGAGGGCUGAUGAACUGGGUGGUGGAGGAGGAGGAAGAAUAGAGAUUGAAUUCAGAGUUUUUCAGGAGGUCAAAGUGGCGAUCAUUCUCAUUCAUUAGAUGCAGAAUUGAGAGUGAGAAGGUAUCAAGGUCAACUUCUGGAUUUCUGGCUUGUAUAAUUGGAUGCUGGCUGGAACCAUUGAUGGGGCAAACUGAAAGAGUCUCUUGCAGAGAAGGAUGGUGAGUUUGAUUUUGAACUUCUUUCCCAUGAGCAACCUUUGUGGCAUCAAGAGGGAAAUGCCAAGCAGAUGGCAGGAGGGAGUCCCAGGGACAGGAGGGAGCAUGGAUUGUCAAGUUCCAGGAGAAAGAAAAAUGUAGAGCAAGGUAAGGGAGUGCCCAGGUGUUAAAUGGAAGGCCAUAGCAUGCUUCAUGACUUUCACUACUGGAAACAGAAGUACCGAGGGAGUCAGGCUCGGAGGAGGGCCUGAACAUCAUGAACCGAAGGGCCACCCAGUCCUGAGAUUCUGCCCAGAGGACCAAGGUUAAUAAGUUUAAAUCUCUCAAACAAUUGACAUUUCAGAGCAAAGGGAUAAAUGCUUUCCCUUUUCCUCCUGCUAGUCGUGGAGGAGAGCAUGCCUACUGCGGAUUUCUCCAUGCAGGGCAGUCCCAGAGGGAGGCCCCGAGACCCAGGCUCUGCCUCAACCAGAAAACCGCAGCAUCAAGAAAGCGCCUGCACAGCUGAGAGAAACGGCCUGUCGCUCUCUGUGGGUGCAGCCCCUCAGCUGAGGCUGCUGGCCGAGGCGCAGAGGUUGGAUCUAACGUUAAACUGAAGAGUCUUAGCUCAGGUGGGAGCAGGCCUUUGCCACCCGUCCUAGCUUAGCUAGCAAGGCUGCCACACUAGAAUAUCAUAGGCUGGGUGGCUUAAACAAUAGAAAUUAUUAUUUUCUCAUAGUUCUGGAGACUGGAAGUCUAAGAUCAGGUGCCAGUAUGAUCAGUUGCUGAUGAGGGCUGUCUUCCUGGC